GAUUUGCAUCGUGUCAGAGUUUACUCUUUGUUUUGGUAACCAUUUCAUCUUUCUCAUUGCAUGAAACCAGAGAAGUGAAGGACAGACUGAAGCUUUCUGCAACAACUCUUUCUGCAACAAUCGGUAAAUUGCUGACUAAUAAUAAUCUCAUCUGAUCUCAGACAACCAUGAAGAUCUCUCUCUCUGCCGGUGUUCUGCUGCUCUCUGCUGCCGUGCUCUCUCUGGAGUUUGAAGAAGAAGAAAAUCCUGUCGCAAAGAUUAAAUACCAGCAUAUCAACGAGGAGAUGGACGAUGAUGGCUGCACCGAGGAGAUGAAUAACAGCGGAGAAGAAACUGAGGCUGAAACAUUUGGGAGACAACUAGAUCCAAGAGUUAAGAAGUUUAUAAAUCAGCAUAUCAACCAGAACAUGAAAUGUAAAAGCUGUGACGCCGUGAUUAGACAGAGAAGAAUCAGUGAAACCAAUAGUAAGAGGUGUAAGAAGGAGAACACCUUUAUCAGUGCCAGUUAUGGUGUUGUCCAAAAGGUCUGUGGGAAUGAAGGAGAGAAGUAUCCAGGAAAUCAAAAUCUGAGAAUCAGCCUUAAAAAGUUCAGAGUUGUUAACUGCAGAUGCAAUAAGAACAAGAGUCUUCCCCACUGUAAGUGCCAUGGCUCUGAUGCCAACCUGAGAAUAGUAAUCAGUUGUGAUGAGAAAGGUAAUCCUGUUCACUAUGAAAAAGGUGUAAAGAUACCUGAUGAAUCAGAGUAAUCUGUUACUUCCUGAUGAACCAGAGUAAUCUGUUACUACCUGAUGAAUCAGAGUAAUCUGUUACUACCUGAUGAAUUAAAGUAAUCUGUUUCUACCUGAUGAAUGAAAGUAAUCUGUUACUACCUGAUGAAUCAGAGUAACUUGUAUCUCCUGUUGAAUAAAACAUGUUGGAAGUUUAA